rnacentral:rRNA from 1 species
AAACCGCUUCGGGGGUAAACGGACAGAGCCCGUGAAUCCGGGCGGCAGAAUUCAGAAUCGAUGGCCGGCAACGGUCGUCGGUUUAAUAUUUCUGUCGCCGGCUUACUCGGACGUCGCGACCCGUUUGGUGUCGGUCUUAGGAGUCGCGCGUUUGUUCGUUGACCGUCGCUCUCGGGUGGCGUGUUAGCGAGUGUGUGAUUUUCCGGCUGACUUGCCAGGCGGUAUGCCAACGGUGUCCCUCGUCGUCGUUACUUUGGCGGCGAGUGGUUCCGGUCUGCGACGAUUUUUCGGGCCUCUUUCCGA